AGUGAACGCUAGCGGUAGGCCUAACACAUGCAAGUCGAACGGCAGCACAGUAAGGGCUUGCUCUUACGGGUGGCGAGUGGCGGACGGGUGAGGAAUACAUCGGAAUCUACUUUUUCGUGGGGGAUAACGUAGGGAAACUUACGCUAAUACCGCAUACGACCUACGGGUGAAAGCAGGGGAUCUUCGGACCUUGCGCGAUUGAAUGAGCCGAUGUCGGAUUAGCUAGUUGGCGGGGUAAAGGCCCACCAAGGCGACGAUCCGUAGCUGGUCUGAGAGGAUGAUCAGCCACACUGGAACUGAGACACGGUCCAGACUCCUACGGGAGGCAGCAGUGGGGAAUAUUGGACAAUGGGCGCAAGCCUGAUCCAGCCAUACCGCGUGGGUGAAGAAGGCCUUCGGGUUGUAAAGCCCUUUUGUUGGGAAAGAAAAGCAGCAGGUUAAUACCCCGCUGUUCUGACGGUACCCAAAGAAUAAGCACCGGCUAACUUCGUG
rnacentral:rRNA from 1 species